AGUGAACGCUGGCGGUAGGCCUAACACAUGCAAGUCGAACGGCAGCACAGUAAGAGCUUGCUCUUACGGGUGGCGAGUGGCGGACGGGUGAGGAAUACAUCGGAAUCUACUUUUUCGUGGGGGAUAACGUAGGGAAACUUACGCUAAUACCGCAUACGACCUACGGGUGAAAGCAGGGGAUCUUCGGACCUUGCGCGAUUGAAUGAGCCGAUGUCGGAUUAGCUAGUUGGCGGGGUAAGGGCCCACCAAGGCGACGAUCCGUAGCUGGUCUGAGAGGAUGAUCAGCCACACUGGAACUGAGACACGGUCCAGACUCCUACGGGAGGCAGCAGUGGGGAAUAUUGGACAAUGGGCGCAAGCCUGAUCCAGCCAUACCGCGUGGGUGUAGAAGGCCUUCGGGUUGUAAAGCCCUUUUGUUGGGAAAGAAAAGCAGCAGGUUAAUACCCCGCUGUUCUGACGGUACCCAAAGAAUAAGCACCGGCUAACUUCGUG
rnacentral:rRNA from 1 species